AGCGGGGGACGCCCGAGUAAUGCCUAGGAAUCUGCCUGGUAGUGGGGGAUCCUCCACAGAAAUUUGGAUUAAUACCCGCAUACCCCUAGCUCUUUUAAGAGCGGUGGAAAGCUGGGGACUCCUCGGAGCCUAGCGCUAUCAGAUGAGCCUAUGUCGGAUUAGCUAGUUGGUGAGGUAACGGCUCACCAAGGCGACGAUCCCUACCUGGUCUGAGAGGAUGAUCAGCCCCCUGGGACUGAGACACGGCCCAGACUCCUACGGGAGGCAGCAGUGGGGAAUAUUGGACAAUGGGCGCAGGCCUGAUCCAGCCCUGCCGCGGGUGUGAAGAAGGCCUUCGGGCUGUAAAGCAC
rnacentral:rRNA from 1 species